rnacentral:rRNA from 1 species
CAGUCGCCGCGGGAAUACGAAGGGGGCUAGCGUUGCUCGGAAUGACUGGGCGUAAAGGGCGCGUAGGCGGUUUAUACAGUCAGAUGUGAAAUUCUGGGCUCAACCUGGGGACUGCAUUUGAUACGUAUGGACUUGAGUGGAGAAGAGGGUCGUGGAAUUUCCAGCGUAGAGGUGAAAUUCGUAGAUAUCGGAAGGAACACCUGUGGCGAAAGCGGCUCACUGGACCAUUUCUGACGCUGAUGCACGAAAGCUAGGGGAGCAAACAGGAUUAGAUACCCCAGUAGUCCCUGUCUCUUAUACA